ACCUACUGAACCUCCGCCACCGAUGGCAACCCCACCCCCACCCUUUGUGAAUCCACCCGCAAUGCCAAGUCCAACUCAUAAGAAAUGUCCCGUGCCAGACAGCGCUCCUAGUCACGAAUCAGUAACGGACUCUCCCACCUCCUUGUCCCUGUUAAUUCUCUACAUCAUCCUGGGCAUCGUGGCGGGAGGCACAGUGCUCUGUUGGUGCUGCUGGACACCUGGAUGGUUUCUAUGGCGCAUCAGCAUCUGCCGCUUCUUACCCUGCUGCAACUCGGUCUGUGCUUCCUGCCAGUUCUGCACUCACAACUGCACCCACAAUCAAGAGCACCGACUGGCAAAAGUCACCCCACACACACCGGUCAAUGGGACACCAAGGGGCACAGCUGCUACCACCAACAGUGCUGAGGAAAAUGUUGCCACAGCAGCUGUGUAGAGCUGAGGGACUGUCCACCUGAUCAGCGCUGGCAUACAGAGAUGUGGAGACAAUAUGCUAAUGCUGAGCUGCAACCAGUGACCAAGAAUCUUUCUAAUCAAGGUUGGAUUGAUGUGGUCUACAAUGGGAUGUUGUAGACCACAUCAAGCAUAAACUGUGGGCUGUAUGCUUUUAAUGCUGGUGAGACUGUUGUUUUUGUUUCUACCGUAUGAGAAGGUAAAGCAGGGUAUAGUUGGAUGAAGAAUUGUAUCAAAGCAUAAAUGUAUCUGAAAGAGAAAACAGUUUUGUUAAUGUCACACAGUUUACCUGUUUUGAAAUUGUCUUACAUGACAUGAUGGCAUCUUAAUCUGUUUGAGAGGCUGCCUCUUAAGUUUGACAACUUCAUCAGUUAUCAGAACACGCAGUGAUGAUUGUAAAGAACUUGUCUGUUCGCUGUUUUCACCAUGUCUUACAAGUCAACAUGUAGUUAUGCAGUGAAACUACACUUCCAAUCCACAGCUUUGACCAAAAGUAUGCCCUGGACACACACAGAGAAAAAAGCCCCGGAGUCGGCCACCUGGUGACAACAGCUGCUCUGCCCGGGAGACCUUUCCUCUCCUCCCAGCAGUCUGCUGUUGUUCCUCAUAAUAGCCCGUGUGAAGUGUGGACAAUGAAGCACAGAGUCAUCUAGUGUCUAGAAGUUAGGUUCAACUUAAGGAAAUUAAGUAUGAACUUCUAACAUGCUAUAGUCUGCACACAAUAAAUGCAUGACAGUUCUUCAACUUCAACUUUUUUAUUUGUCCCCUGAAGGCAUUUAUUAUGCAGCAGUUACACAAACAUUCACGAUAAACAAACAACAAAAACAAUAAAAAAAAACAAUUUAAAAGAAACGUUUAAAAAAAUACAGUAAAAACACAAUAAAAACAUUAAUAUAUCACGCAAAACCUAAGAUAGAUAAGGACAUUAGAAGCAAUUUAGGCCAUUUAGUGUAGUUCAGUGCAAACAGUCACGUAGUCAGCAGCAGCACGACAGAAUAAAGUAAACAAAAACAGGACAAAGUGCAGCAUAGGAUGUGAUUCAGGCUAAUUAAACAACUCAAAUCAGUCAAGCUUUGUCAGCUUAAGUACCUAGAACUAGCCGUGGCUGUGGGCGGCACAUUUCUGAGGAUUACAGCUGAAACACUGAAGGAUAAAAUGACCGUAAUUCACAAUUAAAGUAAAUGAAGUAUAAUUAAAAUAUGUUCAGAAUGAAAUAAUAAUGUAAAUUAUUUCACAAAAAAACAGUUUGAUAAGUAUUCAUCGUUCUCCUUUAUAAUCACAUGAAGUGCUGAAACCAGAAAAGGCUGUCAUUUCCUGAAGUGUGCACGUCAUGGCUGUCUUCCAGUCAUGUCGCCCAUCAGUGUGUUAAGUUUGUGUGGUAGUGGACUGACAAGUGACUCUCUCAAGAGGAUUUUUUGGGGUAAAUUAAGUCCUCUCUGACCUUAUUUUCUAUCAUCAUGUGACUGUUGACUCACAUCUGCUUUUUUAAACAUGUUGGUGAUGGUAAAAGCUCGUUUUUUUCGCCAUGUUAGCAGCCCUGCCCAAGCAAUGGCAACGCUGGCUGUCUGGUCAGUGACCUGGUUCAUCAGCCUGGACUUUGUCAGGACCACUGAUGUUCUGCCAGUGAAAUGUGGUUUUGAGUGAACUGUAUCUCUGAAUAGAUAACCACUGUAUUUGGUACACACAUCCAUAUGCCUGUUUAUAUACUCCAGAUUAUGCUUUUUUCUUCUGAGAACCGAAGAAGCCUGUUUGAUAAAUGCUGAAAAACCUUAAAGAACCACAA